rnacentral:rRNA from 1 species
GUGGGGAAUAUUGCGCAAUGGGGGAAACCCUGACGCAGCGACGCCGUGUGAGGGAAGAAGGCUUUCGGGUCGUAAACCUCUGUCAGGAAGGAAGAACCUCUCAAGGCUGAACAAGCCUUGGGACUGACGGUACUUCCAGAGGAAGCACCGGCUAACUCCGUGCCAGCAGCCGCGGUAAUACGGAGGGUGCAAGCGUUAAUCGGAAUCACUGGGCGUAAAGCGCGCGUAGGCCGUCUCUUAAGUCGGACGUGAAAGCCCUCGGCUCAACCGGGGAACUGCGUUCGAUACUGGGAGACUUGAGUCCUGGAGAGGGUGGCGGAAUUCCGGGUGUAGGAGUGAAAUCCGUAGAUAUCCGGAGGAACACCGGUGGCGAAGGCGGCCACCUGGACAGGUACUGACGCUGAGGCGCGAAAGCGUGGGGAGCAAACAGGAUUAGAAACCCUUGUAGUCC